UACCCCUAGCAAAUCUCAAAAAACCGAUCGUAGUCCAGAUUGGAGUCUGCAACUCAACUCCAUGAAGUCGGAAUCGCUAGUAAUCGCGGAUCAGAAUGCCGCGGUGAAUACGUUCCCGGGCCUUGUACACACCGCCCGUCACACCCUGAAAGUUGACUGCGCCAGAAGUUACUGGACCAACCUUUAUAUUCGUAUAGAGGGGGUAGGUACCUACGGUGUGGUCAGCGACUGGGGUGAAG
rnacentral:rRNA from 1 species